AGCAUAUCAAUAAGCGGAGGAAAAGAAACCAACCGGGAUUGCCCCAGUAACGGCGAGUGAAGCGGCAACAGCUCAAAUUUGAAAUCUGGAGUCUUUGUUGGCUUCCGAGUUGUAAUUUGCAGAGGGAGCCUCGGAGGGCUGGUCGGUCCAAGUGCCUUGGAACAGGAUACCGCAGAGGGUGAGAGUCCCGUAUCCGGCCGACGCAGUGCUCCGUGUGAGGCCUCUUCGACGAGUCGAGUUGUUUGGGAAUGCAGCUCUAAGUGGGUGGUAAAUUCCAUCUAAAGCUAAAUACUGGCCAGAGACCGAUAGCGAACAAGUAGAGUGAUCGAAAGAUGAAAAGCACUUUGAAAAGAGAGUUAAACAGUACGUGAAAUUGUUGAAAGGGAAGCGCAUGGGGGCAGACUUGGACGCGGGGUUCAGGGUCUCUUUUUUGGAGGCGUGUACUUCCCCGCGGACAGGCCAGCAUCGGUUCUGGGGGCCGGACAAAGGCGACGGGAACGUGGCUCUCUUCGGGGAGUGUUAUAGCCCGACGUGCAAUGCGGCCACCUGGGACCGAGGACCGCGCUUCGGCAAGGAUGCUGGCGUAAUGGCCUCAUGCGGCCCGUCUUGAAACACGGACCAAGGAGUCUAACAUCUAUGCGAGUGUUUGGGUGGCAAGCCCGGACGCGCAAUGAAAGUGAACGGAGGUGGGAGCCCUUUCCCUGCGUGGAGGGGGUGCAGCAUCGACCGAUCCGGACGUUUUCUGAAGGAUUUGAGUAAGAGCAUAGCUGUUGGGACCCGAAAGAUGGUGAACUAUGCGUGAAUAGGGUGAAGCCAGAGGAAACUCUGGUGGAGGCUCGCAGCGGUUCUGACGUGCAAAUCGAUCGUCAAAUUUGCGUAUAGGGGCGAAAGACUAAUCGAACCAUCUAGUAGCUGGUUCCUGCG
rnacentral:rRNA from 1 species